CCUACGGGAGGCAGCAGUGGGGGAUAUUGCACAAUGGGGGAAACCCUGAUGCAGCGACGCCGCGUGGGUGAAGAAGCGCCUCGGCGCGUAAAGCCCUGUCAGCAGGGGAGAAAAUGACGGUACCUGAAGAAGAAGCCCCGGCUAACUACGUGCCAGCCGCCGCGGUAAUACGGAGGGGGCAAGCGUUAUCCGGAUUUACUGGGGGUAAAGGGGGCGCAGACGGCAAUGCAGGCCAGGAGUGAAAGCCCGGGGCCCAACCCCGGAACUGCUCUUGAAACUGCGUGGCUAGAGUGCAGGAGGGGCAGGCGGAAUGCCUGGUGUAGCGGUGAAAUGCGUAGAUAUCAGGAGGAACACCGGUGGCGAAGGCGGCCUGCUGGACUGCAACUGACGUUGAGGCACGAAAGCGUGGGGAGCAAACAGGAUUAGAUACCCCAGUAGUC
rnacentral:rRNA from 1 species